GAAAUGCGAUAAGUAAUGUGAAUUGCAGAAUUCAGUGAAUCAUCGAAUCUUUGAACGCACAUUGCGCCCGCCAGUAUUCUGGCGGGCAUGCAUGUUCGAGCGUCAUUUUAACCAUCAAGCCCCCGGCUUGUGUUGGGGACCUGCGGCUGCCCGCAGGCCCUGAAAAACAGUGGCGGGCUCGCUGUCACACCGAGCGUAGUAGCAUACAUUCUCGCUCAGGGCGUGCUGCGGGUUCCGGCCGUUAAACGACCUUCAUAACCCAAGGUUGACCUCGGAUCAGGUAGGAAGACCCGCUGAACUUAAGC
rnacentral:misc_RNA from 1 species